rnacentral:rRNA from 1 species
GAACGCUGGCGGCGUGGAUAAGACAUGCAAGUCGAGCGCUGAUUACGGGGUAGCAAUAUUCCGUAGUCGGAGCGGCGCAAGGGUGCGUAACACGUGGGUAAUCUGCCAUGAAGUUUGGAAUAACUUGCUGAAAGGCGAGCUAAUGCCGGAUGUGAAAGCCGAGAGGCAUCUCUUGGUUUUUAAAGCUGGGGACCGUAAGGCCUGGCGCUUCAUGAUGAACCCGCGGCCUAUCAGCUAGUUGGUGAGGUAACGGCCCACCAAGGCUAAGACGGGUAGCUGGUCUGAGAGGACGACCAGCCACACUGGAACUGAGACACGGUCCAGACACCUACGGGUGGCAGCAGUCGAGAAUUUUUCACAAUGGGCGCAAGCCUGAUGGAGCGACGCCGCGUGGGGGAUGAAUGGCUUCGGCCCGUAAACCCCUGUCAUUUGCGAUCAACCGUUAUUAUUUAAAAGAUGAUGACCUGAUAGUAGCGAAAGAGGAAGGGACGGCUAACUCUGUGCCAGCAGCCGCGGUAAUACAGAGGUCCCAAGCGUUGUUCGGAUUCACUGGGCGUAAAGGGUGCGUAGGUGGCAAGGUAAGUCGGAUGUGAAAUCUCCGAGCUCAACUCGGAAAUGGCAUUGGAAACUGCUUUGCUCGAGGGUUGGAGGGGGGACUGGAAUGCUUGGUGUAGCAGUGAAAUGCGUAGAUAUCAAGCGGAACACCAGUGGCGAAGGCGAGUCCCUGGACAACUCCUGUCACUGAGGCACGAAAGCUAGGGGAGCAAACAGGAUUAGAUACCCUGGUAGUCCUAGCCGUAAACGGUGCACGUUUGCUGUAAGAGGAAUCGACCCCUUUUGUGGCGUAGCCAACGCGUUAAACGUGCCGCCUG